CCACUGAACCACCUACCAGACCACACCGUACACCCACGUUCUCUAUGCAAGGACUUGUGUUCAGCUCCCAGUCCCCAUCUGCAGGAGGGAAAGUUCACAAGUGGUGAAGCAGUGCUGCAGCCACCAGGUUCCAGAUGCUAGCAUGAUGUCAACCAGACUUCCCUGGACAGACAAUCCCACCAAUGUGUCCUGGAGCCCCACUUCCUCAAAGCCCCACCCUACUAGGGAAAGAGAGAGACAGGCUGGGAGUAUGGCUCGACCUGUCAACGCCCAUGUUCAGCGGGAAAGCAAUUACAGAAGCCAGACCUUCCACCUUCUGUACCCCAUAACGACCCUGGGUCCGUACUCCCAGAGGGAUAAAGAAUAGGAAAGCUAUCAAGGGAGGGGAUGGGAUACGGAGUUCUGGCAGUGGGAACUGUGUGGAGUUGUACCCCUCUUAUACUAUGGUUUUAUCAGUGUUUCCUUUUUAUAAAACAUUUAAAAACGAAUAAAAAUAUUUAUUUUU